rfam:Gongylonema pulchrum genome assembly, scaffold: GPTH_contig0003454
GAGAUGCAGCGGUGGAUCACUUGGCUCGUAGACUGAUGAAGAUGGCAAGUAACUACAGUAAAUAGUGCGAACUGCAGACAAACUGAGCACUAAAAUUUCGAACGAAUAUUGUACCAUUGGCUCACUCCCACUGAUAUGCCUGGCUACGGGUUA